rnacentral:rRNA from 1 species
GGUGAGUAACACGUGGGUGAUCUGCCUGCACUUCGGGAUAAGCUUGGGAAACUGGGUCUAAUACCGGAUAGGAGCCAUCUUUAGUGUGGUGGUUGGAAAGUUUUUUCGGUGUAGGAUGAGCUCGCGGCCUAUCAGCUUGUUGGUGGGGUAAUGGCCUACCAAGGCGGCGACGGGUAGCCGGCCUGAGAGGGUGUACGGCCACAUUGGGACUGAGAUACGGCCCAG